CCUACGGGUGGCAGCAGUGGGGAAUAUUGGACAAUGGGCGAAAGCCUGAUCCGGCCAUGCCGCGUGUGUGAAGAAGGCUUUCGGGUUGUAAAGCACUUUCAGUGGGGAAGAAAGCCUUGGGGCUAAUACCCUCGAGGAAGGACAUCACCCAUAGAAGAAGCACCGGCUAACUCCGUGCCAGCAGCCGCGGUAAUACGGAGGGUGCGAGCGUUAAUCGGAAUUACUGGGCGUAAAGCGCGCGUAGGCGGUCUGAUAAGCCGGUUGUGAAAGCCCCGGGCUCAACCUGGGAACGGCAUCCGGAACUGUCAGGCUAGAGGGCAGGAGAGGAAGGUAGAAUUCCCGGUGUAGCGGUGAAAUGCGUAGAGAUCGGGAGGAAUACCAGUGGCGAAGGCGGCCUUCUGGACUGACACUGACGCUGAGGUGCGAAAGCGUGGGUAGCAAACAGGAUUAGAUACCCGAGUAGUC
rnacentral:rRNA from 1 species